AAGUCGUAACAAGGUUUCCGUAGGUGAACCUGCGGAAGGAUCAUUAACAACAUAUCCUAACUAAAAAACCCUGUGAACUUUCAACCCCAAGCUCUUGAUCCGAGGAGUUCAGCAAUCUCUGGUAAAUCAUAGUGAACAGCUUUUGAUUCAGAGACCUCUGCCUACGUGAGAAAAAUGGAACAGUUACAAUCGAGCGGUAGUUUCAUAGGCAUUGUUUCCCCAAGCAGUCAGUGUCGGAAAGUGUCAUUGAUUGUGCAAGGAUAGCGCUUCACGAUUCCUGUAGACCGUACACUCGGGCAGGAGCUAUGCCAAAGGGUCCCCAUGCCCCCUUACAACCCCACAGUUUAAUGUAAAGCUCAAUGUAAUACAUUGGGUAAAAAAACCGAACAACUGUUAACAAUGGAUAUCUUGGUUCUC
rnacentral:misc_RNA from 1 species